rnacentral:snoRNA from 10 species
UGAUGGCAAUGAUGAUUUUUACACUUAUUGUUGUUCACCUGAUAACAUAAAUAUGAGGGUGUUCAGUCACUACCUCAUCUGAUGCCAUCA